GACGCACCAAAGGAACGACACUCAUUUUGUCUGUCUCUUUAUUUAUUCACAGUGUUUUCACAGAUACACAGUGCUUCACUGCCUGUGUGUCCUUUGUUGCCAGCCCAGAUAUCCCCUAGGUCUGAGGCCGGUAACAAUUGGGGGCUGCGUCCGGGAUUAGCACAUCUCGCCUGGGACGGUUGUCAUAGUAACGUGGGAAUCCUGCACCCAGUGUUUCAGGGAAGACUACUUCGCCAAGUGUCAUCCAGAGAACAACUGCCACAGGUGAUGCAUCAGCAUGACUACUUUAAGCCCACGGCGAGUGCUGCUCUUCAAGAUCCAAAAGAAGCUUUCAGAUUUGAGUUUUAGUCAGCUGCAGACUGUUGCAAGUUCGAUAGAUGACGGUCGUAAAACUUACCAUGUAGCAGAUCUAAGUGAACCCGAACUUUAUGACCUAAUUGUCGACUACAUCAGAAGUGAUGAGUUAAAAGCUGCAGAAGAUGAGGGCAUGACUCAACUUCUCCUCCUUUCUGACCUACUUAAUGACGUGCUAUCAGCUGCAGGAACCAGAGCCGCUGAAUCGGGUAAUGUGGCACCUGUCUUGAUGGGAGAUUCACCAACACAGCAACAGGGUCACACUCCAACUGAUGACGAUGGAGAAGUUUGCACACAACCGUUACACAUGGACAGAGACAUUCGCACACAAUCAUUACGCGUGAACACAGAGACUGACAUGCACCCAUCAUUUCAGGGCAGAGACACCUAUGCACUUACCAGAGAAGUCACCUCAUCAACGCCUGGUAUGCCAGACCAAAUUGGUGCUGCUCCUUUGGGGAGAACUGGACACUCUCAAUGGAGCUUGCUGAACUAAAACCAUAAUCACAAAGGUAUUCAC
ensembl:lncRNA